GACGAACGCUGGCGGCGUGCCUAAUACAUGCAAGUCGAGCGAAUCGGCAGGAGCUUGCUCCUGUUGGUUAGCGGCGGACGGGUGAGUAACACGUGGGCAACCUGCCUGUAAGACUGGGAUAACACCGGGAAACCGGUGCUAAUACCGGAUAAUCCUUUCCCUCUCAUGAGGGGAAGUUGAAAGUCGGUUUCGGCUGACCCUUACAGAUGGGCCCGCGGCGCAUGAGCUAGUUGGUGAGGUAACGGCUCACCAAGGCGACGAUGCGUAGCCGACCUGAGAGGGUGAUCGGCCACACUGGGACUGAGACACGGCCCAGACUCCUACGGGAGGCAGCAGUAGGGAAUCUUCCACAAUGGACGAAAGUCUGAUGGAGCAACGCCGCGUGAGCGAUGAAGGCCUUCGGGUCGUAAAGCUCUGUUGUUAGGGAAGAACAAGUAUCGGAGUAACUGCCGGUACCUUGACGGUACCUAACCAGAAAGCCACGGCUAACUACGUGCCAGCCGCCGCCGUAAUAC
rnacentral:rRNA from 1 species